UAUGUAUAUAUAUAGUAUAUAUUUAUAUAUAUAAUAUAUAUAGUAUAUAUAUAAUAUAUAUAAUAUAUAUAAAUAUAUAAAUAAAUAAAUAAAACAAUAUAAAGUAUACAUAUAUGAAAGAUAUGCGUGUAUGUUUGGGUACGCGCGUGUUCGCAAGCACUUACGUAUAUGCGUGUACACCCUAUGUAUACAUAUAUGUAUACCACACACACACACGUAUACACAUCAAAAUGAUAUUAUCAGUUGGGAUCAGGAAAUCGUGGUAAAUAAUAGAAAUGAUAAUUAAGACUUUGCUCGUAAUACGCAUGCGCGAGAAAUUAGCCCGUCAAAGUACGAUUCUGUCUAACUUCAUCGGCACCGUCUCCACGUACAGGGACUAGCAAUAUUAUGUUAAUGUUAUUUAUAUACGUAUCAUAUGUAUAGGGUGUGCACAUUAUAUACAGAUAUUUGUAUGCCUGCGCGCCUGUAUCUGCGUAUACAUGUAUAUUAAAGAAAAGAUGAAGCUAUCGGUUGUUAUGAUACAUAAAAGUAUAUAUUGACUAAUAUCAUUAUACAAAAUUGCCAGCAAAGUGAAGACGAUUAACGCGCGCGUUCGAAUUUCACGCGUUGCAUGCCGAGCUUCUUAUGGCGGGUUCAAUGAAGCUCGGGAUGAACUUCGGCUGUGUCCGUUAAAACCCACGUCGUAUUUUAUUAUUAUCUUAUUGCACUAUUACGAUUAGUGAAUAAUUGUACGAAAUACGGGUGAAAGAAAAAAGCGCGUGUCAAUCGAAGUCACGUUGCGCUGGACAGUCCGUGGAUGAAAGACUCGUUGGAAUACGGUAAUGAAUUACCUGUAGUUUACGUUAGUAGAGCCAACAAUUAUUAUCAUAGACGAUUAUUGGACGAUUAUAACACGUUUAAUACGGAUCGGACGAAACCUUGCAUUACACAUACACUUGUGUGUGUAAUUCGUAAAUUAGUUGACGAUCGCUGGAUCUGUGUUACGUGAAAUAAUAACAGAUUAUAAUAUACACGGAUAAAUAAUUGAAUAAAUAAAUAUUUAAACACAUGCAUUAUACAUAGAUUUAUAAUAGCGCUUAGCUUUACUCGGCACUGUCAUUAUCUAGACUGGACGAUACAAACUGAAUGCGGCUGUUGUGAAGAGAAUAAAAUUAAUUAAGAUGUAAAGUAAAUAACGCGACGGCCUUCGUCCCCGGACUGUCCGCGGGCUUCUCGUAAGCGUAGUUAGACUUUAAUUGUACAAUUAACAGAUUAACGUUUCGGUUAACGCACCGUAAAGUAUAUUUACAAUAUCACACCUUUUACGCUCUCGAUAAGACGACGUUACUUUCUACCGCUUCGAGAUCCCACGGUUGUUCUGCGAUACAGGUAUAAAACGACAUUGAACAACUGCAAUUUUGUUUUCCGAUCCUAAAGUAAUCCUCGAUUCACGUACGGUAUCCGUAAUCAUGCCACCCUCGAUUUACGCCCUAAAUGUUUUUGAUGUUUGCCUGAAUUCGUAUUUCGUUUUACCAUUUUGACUGCAUGCCUAGUGUACUCAUACUUGGAGGUGCAAAAAUCAUUCAAGCAGGUACUGUGGAUAAUAGAAUACUUGCUGUAACGAUAUUUAUAAAACACGUAACUAUUAAGCACAUAUAGUCAUGUCCGUAUCCUGUAUUGUCAGAUAUCGCAGUUUUUCUUUCACGAUACGAAUGCGUAAAUUGGUACAAGUGCACUCGGAUUAUCCCACGCUGAUGCCAAUCUAUUCAGGAAGUUAUUUUCAAAUCGAUGGUUCAAAUUAUUAUUUUAUCCUAACAAGUUAAUUUUAAAAAACAGAAUAUUCUUCACAUUUUGAGAUGGACAGAUAUAAGAGAGAUGUGUUUUCGUUUUCUAUAUUUAGGAAUUUAACUGUUUUAUUUUAUUUUUAUUUUUUUGUCUUUUUUCCAUAAACAAAUUUUACCAUAGCAAUUAUUCUUUUCUUCUUUUUAUAAACAGAAAUUGACUGAACGUCGAGUUUACAUUUAUAGUUUUCCUCCUUUUUCAGCAUAGUUGUUUACGCGAUGUUUAUUACGGUUAAUGCUGACAAAAACUACACGUAUACGUAUUUUAUUCAAGUUUACGAUUUUUACCACAAAUUUGCCAUCAGCGGUUGAAAAUAAAUAACAGUCGCUGCGAAUUUUCGUGACAGUUGUAGAUACAUCCAAAAGUUGUUUGCUUGAGAAAAUUUGCUAAAAAAUAAUUUCUUUCAUAUUUUCUUUUAUUGUAAGACAGUUUGCGGUAAAUUUAAAUUACAGAUUGCCGAAAUUUUCAAAUUUUUAACGAUUACCCAAAUAAGCUACUGGCACGAAUCCCAAUUUUUUCCUUAAUGUUGAUCAAAAUUUUGCACAUGCAUAUGAAGAAAAUCAAAGCAUUCUUGAAAAUAUCAAUAAGACUCCUAUGCGUCAAAACUCUCAAGCAACGUUUUGUGGGAUUAAUAACAUUUUUUAAUCAGUGGCAUAAAUUUUGGAAACAUCAUACAACGGCAUGAUAAAAAUGGGAUAUCCGGUGUAUGAAAUGCUCGUACAUGCUACCAAUUGAAUUUGGAAGUAACGUCUACACGUUGAUGUAAGGUCGCUGGUUAUUUGCGCGUGUAUCUCACGAGUACUCCACCUUGAAUAUUCCGUCAUGGAAAAAGCCGGAAGUGGGAAGAAUAAGGUGCGUCAGCUGACACGUUAAUGGUAGCGGAAAUAAAGUAUAAAUAUUAUUCUAUUGAUUAAUGAUUACGUAAAUGCAGUUCGUUUAUAUUGUAGGAAAGAAAAUAAACCCACACAGAACACAUAACAGACACGUUACACGUACACAAAAACAUACAGACACAGAAUACACGUUGCGACUAUAGAAGUUAUUACGAUUUGGUGUUCAAUUUUAUAAUAAUAUAUAUACAUACACUCUUGUAUAUAUAUAUAUUAGAGAAAGUUGACAGAUUAUUUAAUAUGUGUGUAUAUAUAUUUUUACAGAUAUUUUAUACAUAUAUAUACACACAUGUAAAUAUAUGAAUAUUAUUAUUAUUAUUAUACAUAUAUAUAUAUAAUAUGUAUAAAUAUAUAUAUAUAUAUAUAUAUAUAUAUAUAUAUAUAUAAAGGAAAGGGGCAGCGAUUUUCGACCGAUCGACAAACCGACGCUGAAUAGGUCGAUAUUUUUUAUACCAUAAAUUGUUAAUUUGUUGUAAUAUUAUUAUACGCGUUAUUUUAUCGAGUUUAUGCAUAUAUCUGUAUAUUAUUUAUAUGUAUAUUUAUGUAUAUGCAUAAAUAUAAUAUAUACAUACAUACAUAAAUCUAUACGUUGUAAUUUCGUUGUUCCCAAGUUUUUGAAAACCAGUGUUUGAAAGGCGACAGGCUCGCCGAAUCGAUCGAAGAUCGACGCCUCUCUGCAGGUGCAUAUAUAUUAUAAUUCGAUUUAGCUUUAACAUCUAGAUAUUCAAUAUACAUAUUACAUAAAUGAUUGUUGUGGUUGCCACGAUGGUUUCUUUUCUUUUAAUUCUUUUUAUUCUUUCUUUCAUUUUUUUAGACAUAGGAAGAUAUAGGAUCAGAGAGAAGGAAACAGAACAAAAUUUUUUAUUCUUGUUAAUAUUAUUAUUAUUAUUAUUAUUAUCAUUAUCAUCAUUAUCAUCGUCGUCAUCAUCAUUACAACGGAUCUUCGAUCGAAGUAACGGAUUUUCUGUUUCAACACUACCAUCUUUCGAAAUCUCUCGAAACGUGUUACGAAUCACGUCGCAGACUCCAUUACAUUUUAUAACUGCAUUAAACUGCAGUAAACCGGUGUUUACUAGAUAAUAUUGUAAAAACGAAUAUAAAUCAAGCCCGAGGUUACGGAUUAAUCGGUAUAAGGCAGACUUAAUUUAAAGGUUUCAGAAACGUUUCUCCUUCCCAGCUUUAUAUUUCCAUUGCACUACGAUCUAAAGCAAAAAGUAACGUUCAUCGGUAUGGGUACAGAUAAUUUGGCCGACACAAGCAAACAUCAGGUUGUAAUUUAUCCGACGCUGGACAUUAUGGUUCGACAAAUCACUUCUCACGUGGAGCUUCGAGUCUUGGUUUUUCGUAGAUUUUGAACCUACAAACUAACUUUUGUUGACAAUAUUUGAAUAACUUUGCGGUCAUUAAUUCAUUUAUCUUUGCUACCGAUAGGAUAACGAAUGAGACACCUUAUCAGCUGUCCAAAUCGGUUCACUGAUUUCUCAACCACAAUUACUGUCAAUCGAAUUGUUUAACUACUUUCUCACGGUCAAGUAAAAUCGAAAAAACGACAUGUUAACAUCGAAGAACAACUUAACAUCUUCUCGACGUGAUCCUCGAUCUAUUCAAUUAACAUCGUGGUAGAUGAGCAGGAAAAAUCAUUCGCUUUAAACUGAUGAUUACCUGAACGAAAGUGGAUCAUACUCACGAGUAAAAAACUAGGUUCGUUGAGUUCUACGAGUUCUAUUCAACGCCGCAGAACUCAUCAAGUUUCCAUCUCUCCUACCUGAGAGUCGGAUGACGAUAAAAACCCUUCGGUAGAAAAUGGGACCAGUAACUUUUCUGUUUCUCCCAUUAGAAAAAUAAAAUAACAAUAUUGAUAAUAGUUGCGUUCAUCUAAUGUCUGAUGGUGAGGUGAAUAUGAAUGACAUACGUUUACACUUAACGAAAUACAUCAUCUAAUACUAAAUCAUAACUUACGUACCGAAAUUUGAAAUAAUCCAAGUUUCUUGUUACUGAGGAACAAGCAUUCCGUAUGACGAACACAAGAGGUAUCGUCUAUUUAUUCAAAAUGAAACCGUUUCAAACUGGUUGAGAAGAAAAUUUUGACAUCAUUUGGUCUUGAUACAGAUCCCCAAUAUCUCGUAUACUUCUACAUUAGACUAUUUCAGAUGAGGCUAAUGUUGUUUGAUGUUUUUUUAUUCCGUUGCUGGAACAAGGUUGGAACAUCAGUUUUAACCGACCUAAAAAUCUUAUUUACACGAUUGUAUCCAUGUAACAUCGUGCUCACAAUUAUUUUGUAAAUUUUGCGACCAAACUUCAAUAUAUAUAUUUUUUACAGUUAUUGAAAUGAGAAAAGACAACACGCAAUGAGGCGCCUCAGAGACUUUAAUUAAAAAUUCCUAUAUUCUUUGAAUAGAUUUUGUGUAAGCCAAAAACCAAUGCUUAGGCCUUGUUCCACCGCGACGAAAAAAAAAUUUGACCCAAUUUGAAACAGUCGAGUGUACAUGGGUAUGUUGAAGGUACUCCCGAAAUAAUUGAUUGUGAGUGAGAUUAAGAGCUCAUAGCGAGUCUGAGGAAGGAAAGGGUGGGGUGAUUUUUGUAACCACAGAAAUAUAUAAACCAGCGAUGUGUUCCGUCAACUCAAGAUCGUCGAAAAUGCUUUCGAAACUGACAGCGCGAAUAAUAUUUGACAAAAGGGUGAAAUACUGAGUCAGUCACAUAAUUUUCCUGAUUAAAUCUAUUGCUCGGAGUUAUUAGGAAAAUUGAUAUUGGCUUCUGAAAUUCAUGAUAUUUACUGAUGAUCGGGAAUCGAUUGCAGUUAUACCCAGAAACUGAUGAAUUCCAUUUCUUAGCAAAAUGACUCUGUUGCAGCAUUUCUUCACAAAAUUAAACUUAAAAAGUACAGUUUUAUUCCAGAACUUAUAGGUAUGUCAAUUUCAAAAUUGACACAUCUAUGAAACAAACUUUGCAUUCAAAGUUCGCGCUACCAACAUAAAACAGUGGCUGCGUCACUGAGAACCGUAACAGUUGUAAUAACUUCCUGAAAAAUAGUAUGCAAUUCUUUUAUUUCUAAAUCGAAACUUUAACAUCAACUUACAGCGAUCCGUAAACGUAAACAGGUCUUAGAAAGCGUAGACUUCCAUCGAAAUACCAUUGAUUUUUUGAUUGACUAAAAAAAUUAGCGUUUUCCGCUAAUCGAUGCAAUGUAACUCACGAUCAAUUUGUGUUUUUGUCCACUGGUCAAAGAUGAGUCCUUCAGUUCCCUUGCAAAUCGUGAAUACCGUCUAAUUUUCGAAAAAGAAAUACUAAAACGAAAGAACGGUUAUCCAAUCAGUUUAUCAAUCAUUGCACAGAGCAUGAGCAUGCAACAAUUCGGACACGCGGCGUGCAUUAUAGUAUACAUACCUCGUAUGUGUAUCUAUUUCGAUAUAUGCGUUACACGUAUAUAUUGAUACUGCCAGCGCCAAAGUAUACCAGUACCUGCUGUGGUUUUAGGAUAUAAGCGUUUUAGGCAAUUGAACAUAGUUUAGAGGUUACAGUAGUCCGUAAUAUAAAGGCUCGAUAAACCUCUGUAAUAAUAUUUAAUAGUAAUAAUAAUAAUAACAAUAACAACGUUUAUGAAACUAAUAAUAGUAACGCACCAGAAUAUUAAUAAUAAUAACGAUAACUGUAAUUGUAAUAAUAUAAUAAUCUUAACAACAAUAAUAAUAACAAUAAUAAUAUUAAUAAUAAUAAUAAUAAUAAUAAUAAUAAUAAUAAUAAUAAUAAUAAUAAGGAAACAAUUGAGAAAAGUCACCACUCCAGAAGCCCAGCGGAAGUCUGAAGAUAGAAUAAUAAUAGAAAAAGAAAUCAUCAUCACUAAUAACAAUGAUAAAAUAAUGAAAAAGGAUUUUAAAACUCGGAUAAACAAAGGAGCACCACUGAAGCCCGGCCGGGGAACCCUGGAAUUACCACAUUUUUACUCAUACGUACGAAUAGAGUGUAUAGCAACAACGAAUUUCACCGUGGACACACCGGUGGGAGUUGGGAAUGAUAAUGUGGCGCUGGGACACCUCGUGGCAAAAAUAUGCGUUACUCUAACUGGGCCAUAUUUAAUUUUAAAAUACCUCUUGCAUCCUAUUUUCGCAGCAUUUUAAUUCCGCAUAAUAAAACUGAAGCCACAAAGCUUGCACGAAAUUGUCUGUACUACUCCAUUCGCAUAAUUGACCUAAAACCAACUGUCAAUAGCCAAUUUUUAGCCAGAUGAUUAUUAUAUUAAGGUGCAGAACAUUUUUUUUUUUUUUAAGCCGGUGUGAAUUUAUUUUGUCCCGUGGAGUUAACAGUAUAGAGUAAACUUUCUUAUCCGAAUAAGACUCUUUCGGAUUUUUGGGCAAAAUGUUUUCCCCUACCAGAUAACGUCUUUCGACACAUUGGAUCCCAAUACUUGAGUCGCGAAAGGUUUGCAAGAUAGAAAAGUGAGGUUCAUAGAGGUCUAGUGUCGUUACUUUUUACCAGUCUGUAAGUAUAGUUGAGUGAAAAGGGAAAGAGAAUAAUGAAAUUGGUGAUAAGCCGAGGUAAAUCUGUCCCUACUAAAAAUGACCAUAUCUUAAAUCAUAUAAUCUUGUGACCGAAAUCAGCGUGUAAUUUAUUACAUGAUUUAUCUUGUAGAUUCGAGAAAAAUAUAUGAAAAUCACGAAUCGACAGAUAUACUAGAUCAAAAAUCAUAUAGAGUUGAGUACGUUUGAUGAUUCGUACUUUUGUAAUUUAUUGCGUGAUUUUUUAUUCAUUUUUCUCGAAUUUACAAGACAAAUCAUGUAAUAAAUUACAUGUUGAUUCCGAUCAUAACAUCUUCUGAUUUAUUACUUGAACAUUUUCGAUAGGGAUGUCUAACAAUACACGAAGGAGGAUCGUGCAAGCUGUUUUUUUUUUUUUUUUUUUUUCAAUUCAGCAAGGCUGGAAAAAGAAGGACAAACAAAAAAAAAUUAUAAAACGCAAUUGGACUGAUUGUGAAUUAUUAUAUACUCGCUGGAUUUUUGUCCAGAUACGUCAACGCUGCUGUAUAAUGUAAAUGUACACGUUAAAAAAUAUCUUUAUACUUACGCGUCUACUAUAAUUGUACCGUCGGCUGUGCUCCCGCGGAAACCGCAACUGCAUUUUUUUACCUACGUCUUAAAUUACUAGCUCCGGUCUAACCGAAAGUUUGGUAAAUUCAACAAUUUCUACAUUUCGCUGCAUAGCUCGUAUAUGUAUGUAUUUCGGACUGAUUCUAAUAAACAUAAACUUAUCGUAACCUAGGUGUAUGCGAGUAGGUGAACUAGCGUAAAUGUUACUCCUAGAUCUGAUAUUGUAUCACACAUUUAAUAUGAUAGAAAAAGAAAAAGAAAAAAAAUUAUACGUACUUCGAUUGUAAAUGCGUUUCGUGUUCUUCAGUAUUUCUUAAUCAACAUAUUUGUAUAUUUACCUUCAGAAACUGGAUAUUGGACGUCCAGUAACGCCUCGACUGGUUUAUUUUUAGUCAUGUGUAUAUAUUUUUUUAAAUACCAUAUAUUCUGAACGUUACUAGACUUCCCGCGUUACCUGGCCAUAGAUAUAUACACCAAACGAUACACAUAUAUAUUUAAAGUGACUACGUAUCGGAGAAAUUAUCUGAACGCGACAAAAUAUCUAAAUAAAUUAUUAGUCUUAGUAAAAAAUUGAAUAGGUACUUUAUUGAAUAGAUGUUUUAGUUUUUCUGCUUGGCCAUGAAUUAUUUCUGUCAAAUUUGUGCGUACAGAACCGUGAAAAUAAUAUUACACACGGAUUAUCGUGAAUCUCAUCUUUUGACAUCGCAUUUUUACCCACACCUGAAGUAGAAGGCUUUUCUAUUAUUUCACAAUGAAACAGCAAACAGUUUCUUUCGUAAUUCGCAUAGCAUUAUAACCUAAACAUGUAGAUUGUCGUGCAUACAUAUAUAUGUAAUAAUAUGUAUAUACAUGUAUACACGCGCACCUAUAUAUAUAUGUAUACAUAAAUAUAUGUGCAUAUACAUCGUUUAAUGCUUAGAAAAUUUGUUGUUGAUACAAGAACUGAUGAUACUUGUGAGACUGUGCGGGCGCCUUAUAUAUUGAGAAAAUUAAUUAAAAUCGAAAACGAUACAAAGACAAAAAAAAAAAAACUAAAAAAAAAAAAAAAAAAGAAAACCACAUACAUACCUGUAAUAUGAUAUGGGUAAAAAAGAAGCAUAAAAGAAUAUGUGAAUAGGUAAAAUUUUUGAUUCUGCGAAUUGAAUUAGUACAUUGUGUGUUAAGGGCGAAAUGAAGGCGAUCACACGCGAGUGAAAUCCCUUUUCCGCCCGCGAUGCUCGCGAUUUUUUUGUUGUUCUAGUCCCUGUGAAAAUACGCCUUCCACGCAAAGUUACACCCAAAAUGAAAAUUGUAAUUUUAGGCCCGCUACACAAAACGCGAGAAGGCGUUUUUAUUCAUGGGGGGUUGGACGAAGAAAAAAAUUUAGUAUCGAACUGGAUUUCGCGGGACGCAUGGCCAACGCACCUACGUUACGUGAAUACUUUCUUGUGAUAAUCUAAAAUUUUGACUGAGCUGCAUUAUUAUCUAAUUGUAAGCCUGCAGCUGAUCCGCGAUAUUUCUUUAUCUUUUCGUUGUUCUGUAUACCGAUUAAUUAUUAUUAUCCGUCGCUCAGUUUUUCAGUCAUUGAGUGCAAUUCAAGUGAAAUAUACAAAAUAUAUGAUACAAAAUAUCGGAAUAACCAGGCGCAGUGUUGAAACUUGAAGAUUAUAAUUAAAGAUUGAAGUAUGGUAAAGCCGACGUCUUGUCGAGCACUUCAUUGGUUUGGGAAUUCGAUGAGCUUUACCUACGUUCUUUUUCCACACAUCUUCACUAAACGCUUUCACGAUAUAACGCAUCGAUAAUAAUUGUCAAGUCUAUCGUAGCAACCAUGUGCUUUUCAAAUCAUUUAAAUUAUUUUUCAAACAUUUCUUCAGAUCCUGCAAUAUUCGUAAUAAAUUUUUGUAGGCAUUUGAAAAUCCGUAAAUCUCUUAUUCCUCAUUUGAACAGGAUAUUUUACGCUUACAAAGAAAAAAGUAAUGAAAUUAAACGAAAUUUUACGCUAUAAAGGAUCAUGUGAAUCUAAAAGAAUGUUCGAUCGAAAAUUGUGUAACUUAAUUCUACUAAGUCGCUAAUAAGCACUUUAUACCUGGAACUUUUUCGAAUUAAACGAAAGAAAUAGAACGUUCCGUUCACACCUAUAAUGUAUCGCGAAAAAGUUUAUCACGACGAUUUACUAAUUCGCACAAAUUUCGAACCCCCCGGAAUAAAUUUCUCAUCAAGAGUGUACCAUGGGCACCAUGAGCUGAAUCUCCUGGCAAGCAAGUGAAUUAUUCGACGUCUAUUAUCAAGAAUGAAAAUACAAAUUUGAAACUCGACUCGAUCGUAAAUUAAACCUGUGAACUUACUUAAAAUUGCGAAAGCAAAUUUCGUGGGUGAAAUAUCUGAUAUGUAACUAAUUUGGCAUUGGUACAAAAUCAACAUUGCCACCAUUCCCGAUUUUAGAAUUUCAAUUCGGUUGUUCAAUAAUUACGAGCAUUCACUAGCUUUCAAAAGCUUCUAAUUGUAAAACGGCAUCUAAAAUAUUGAGCACGGUGAACAUCCAUCGUCAAUGAUUAAGACUGAAAACACGCAAAUGAACUUUCAAAAUUGCCUAUAGUUCACUCUUAAUGUACGCACCAAGCGCAUGAAGUAAUUCACCAAGCUGUAUAAUCCCGAGUGCAAUUUGACCAGUGUAAAAAUUAUUUUGUUAACGUCUCUUCUUUCUGUUGGUUUUAUUUUUUUAUUUUUUAUUAAUUUUCUUCUUACCACGACUACGAACUUAUUAUCUAACUAAAAACUAUCAUAAUUCAUGUGGAUCGAUUAAUUUCACCUAAAGUACAUGAUAUAAUGUAUAAUACUGUAUGAAAUGUUUAUAUGGAAUUUCCAUGAGCAGGGUAUCACAUAUACUGUUAGUACAAACGAAAUAAAUAAAAUACAUCUGAAUGAUUGAAAAAUUGAAUCGUGAAGAUUUUUGUAAAAUCAUUUUAAACACGGAGCUUGAGAUAUUAGUAUGGUAUUAUUAUAAUGAAACGGAUUCUGCUUUCCAUUAUGACACUUUUGUUUUAUAGCAGGAUAUUGUACGGAUAAAUAGAUCAAUCAAUGACGCACGUUCAGCGUAUACUUUCGCAAUCAUUGGAAUAAAUAGCGUAAGGUUGGGAUACGGACGGAAUAUCGAGAAAUUUUCAAUUAAUACUCAAGUACUUGAAAUUAUAUUUUCAAAUAAUAUUUCCGAAGGCGAGAAUUAGCAGUCAAACCACGCGGCAACAUCAAUUAGUCGAUGUCUCGCCGAUAUUUUCCUACGAGUGACAAUUAGCCUGACUUGAAAAUAAAUCGGGUCAACCUUUUCUUCUUAUCGAGGAAUUAAACACUCCUGAAGUUGGAUCUUUGCACCUGACAUCGGGGUAUCGAAACUUUGAAAGAUUUCGCGACUUCAAAUGAUUCCAUGUGAUUUGAAGUGAGUUAACGUAGUAACUUCACAAGAGUUGAGAUGACUUCACGCGACUUGUCGAGACUUUGCGAGAUUUCGAUUAAUUUCAAGCGACUUUAUAACUUCGAGUGAUUUUACGUAAGUUCGUGGCUUAAAGUCAUUGAACUGGAUUGUUCUUUUUUCUCUCAUUGCCUGCACCUGACUUCGGGCAUUGUUACUCCGUUGCUUCAUAUGAGAACGCGAUGGUACACAGAUCACAGAAUUGUGUUCAACAGAUCCAAUUGCAUCCCACCAACGUGUAGCGCGAAAUGAUUACGAACGUAUAACGAACAUGUGAUAUAAUUCAUCCAUAGCUGUAAAGGUCGUAGGAUGAGGAGUCGGUGCUCUCCAGUUAUACGUUGUUGAAUUAAUGCAUCCUCUAUUAUUGUAAAACUUUAUAUGAAUGAAAAGAAUUUAAUUGCUAUACGCGUCCGUUACGACAGUUGUUACAAUAUUACCAUAAUUAUAUGAUAUAUUUGCCGUAUUUCUUUAAUGAGUAUAUAAAUUUACCUGGGAAAUUUGUCAUUGACAAACUAUAUGAAUAACUCGACACGGAAGUAGAGGCAUUUACAAAUUAUACCCGUUAAUCUAUAUACAUAUGUAUAUCUAUGGCAUAAAAUAGAAAGUAAAAUAUUGAUUAAUGAUAUAUAUGUAUUUUUAAAAGAGGUAUAUGCUGUUCUGUCGUUCGGAGAUGUACAUUUAUUACUUACAUAUAUUAUAUAUACAUACAGUUAUAUAUUACACGAGUAUAUUCGGUUCAUAAGCGGACAUUAAGAUUUUUAUUUUUUUUUUUCAAAACACAAACCACACAUAUACCAUCAUUUGCAUUGAGACUUGGUUAGAACGAGUGAAGAAACAAUGUUUACCUGUACAUUUGUUGAACGAAGGUGUACAUUUUUACAACUGUACUCGUUUAUGUGUUCUGUUUUUUCGAAGUUGAGAAAUAAAAUUUCCACGCUCCGUAUCUUGACCGUACUUUAUUUCGAGUACAUCGCAAUUCCGACUGAAACACUAUCUUUGCAUCCCCCCCCACCCGAAAAUCACGUCCUCGAACUGCAACCGUUAAAUCGAUAUGUUUUGUUCAAAGUACAGGAGCAAGCGACACACGUUCUUUCAAUGUCCUCCAAUUGCACAAGAUUCGAUACACAGUUUUCAAAAGAAAUGGUAAAUGUCUAGUAAAUCCGAUCAGCAAUAUUAUUAGAAUAACGAAAUUUUUCAAAAUUUCUUUAGCUAGAUCAACUAAUCCAUCGUGAAUAUUUCAAUAGUUCGUGUAAGAAUGAUUACAAUUUGAAAAGAAAAAGUGAUAACCACAGUGAUUCGAAAGCUUGUGUAACCUAUAAUAAAUUGUAUUGAAUUGAUGAAAAAAAUAGUUUACACGCCUAUACGUUCUCUUAUUUACACGAUAACCUAACUUUGAAAGUUGAAGAUAUUCCGAGUAAAUUUGAAAUUUGAAAUACAUGUGAACACGAUUAAAUACGUCUAACAAAACCGAUUGAUCACUGAGUAUCGAACUUUAACUCCAAUUGAUACAACGGUAUUAAAAUAGGUACAUACAUUUUAAAACUAUAUUCGAACCAAAAGCAGGAGAUACGUACAUCAUAUUUAAAGGUAAAGUAAUGAAUAACUACAAUUGAUUUUGUAAAUACUUAAAUAUAUAUAUGUACCUAGUUGAAUAGACGGAAGAGAAAUAGAAAAGUGAAAAACACCCUUAUCGAAGAAUUUCACAAUUAUACGUACAUACACAGUACACACAUCAUACACUGAAACACAAAAACACGUACACAAACAGUAGAGAUUCAUUGAAGAAUAAUGUUUCCUCAAACAAUUGAUUAAUAAUGUUGAACAGAGAUAUAUUGUAAAUAAUUUGAAAGAAAUUAAAAAAAAAAAAAAAGAAGUAAGCAGUUAUUAAUAUGCAAUUAUAAGGUCACUAGAUGCGCACGCACCGAAUAACAAAUCAUGGCCACGAAGCUGAACAUUAUAUUAUAUACAACAAACGUGGGCAUAUAUAACGCAAUUAUGAAUACUUUUGAACGUAUUGCAUUGAAAGAAUUACAAUGUUAUGUACAUGCAAACUUUAGUAUGGUAAUAUGAAUUUCUGGGGUUUUAAUCAUAGGAUAAUAUAUCAGCAUAAUAUUAAUUGUUAAUAUAAAAUGAAAAAAAAAAAAAAAAAUUAAAUAAAAAUAAAAAUAAAAAUGCCUUGUUUUGUAGCAUCUUUUAGCUUUAUACCUAUAAAUAUGUAUAGUUACCUUGGUCAUGUUUAGACUGAUUUUUUAUUACAUUAGAUUGUGAAACGGAAUCGAGACAUUUUCUAAUACUACACGAACCUUAUUCAUCGACACGAAAUUAUAACCCGUACAAUUAGACUUUCGUGGCUAAAAACCCGAUUUUUCAUAGAUUUAACGUUUUACGCGGGCUCGAGAUAAAAAGUAGGUUACUCAAGUCUCUUAAUUGUAAAUUAAUCCUCAUCGUUUUACGUAAUUCUUCUCGACCGGCUCGUUCUUAGAAAUCGAUUUAAGUGCAGAAGUACAUAUUUGCAACGAAUCUAAAACUGAAAUGACAUGAGUUUAUUGCUUAUAAUCGCACCUUACUAUUUUAAUAAAUACUGAACUGACAACGAGCCCCGCGGUAUUUAAUUCUCAAUUUUCCUAAUUCAUACUAAUUUUCCGCGAGCGAUGCAAAUGAGUAAUGAUAACGGCAUUGCCAGGGAAUCCGGCUAUUUGUCAUGUAAAUCGUUUGCAUUCUAUCGCAGCUCCUUGGAAUGAUAUUAUAGGUAUGAAAUAUUUUUAAUGUCACAAUUUAUUUCCCAACAACUCAACUAUCUAGCAUUAAAUUGUUACAUUGAUUUGUAACAUAUUCGUGAGCUAAUAUACACUGACGGAAACAGAGACAAAAAAAAAAAGAAAACACUUAGAAACUAGAAAAGGUAAAAGAAAGAAAACAAGCAACAAACAAUUAUGUACUUGAUA
rnacentral:lncRNA from 1 species